GCCUGGGUGGCUCAGUCGGUUGAGCGUCUGACUUCAUUCAGCUCAGGUCAUGAUCUCACACUCCGUGAGUUCAAGCCCCGCGUCAGGCU
rnacentral:tRNA from 1 species